UUUGCUUGGGGUGCUGAGGCUCUUACGCCGAUGCUGAGAUUAUACCCACUGAACCUGUGCGGGUAAUGCCGCCGUAGGGAGUAAA
rnacentral:ncRNA from 1 species